GUGGCCUAGUGGUUAGAGCGUCCGCCUCGGAUGCGGAAGGUCGUAUGUUCGUUCCCGGGUCGAGUCAUACCA